rnacentral:ncRNA from 2 species
CGGUGACGCCGAGGGUGAAAGCAGUGGCUAGCAUAUUUCUGAGCUUACGUACAGAAACCUGAUUGAGGCCAUAAGGCGGACAAGACUGCAUGUCAAGUCAAAGUCCGAAAGACAAACGUAAAGCCGAUCGGUAAAUCAGGAAGCUAUGGAAAUUAAGG